CAGAGAGCUAGGUCACCCCUUCCACCAUGUGAGGACACAGUUAAAAGGCACAGUCUAUAAGAAAGCAGGUCCUCACUAGACACCAAAUCUGCUGACACAUUAAUCUUGGACUUUCCAGCCUCCAGAACUAUGUCACUUAUAAAAUCAAAUCCCUUGAGCUCCUCUUAACCAGUUGGCUAUACUUAAAAGGAAACAGACAGCCAAUUAUCCAUUCAAAAAUGAUAUUUUAAAUUAUCCAUUCAAAUUUCUGCUGCCUAACCAUUAACCGAAAGACUCAUAACCACGAGUAUGGCUCUGGAGUCAAGUUGUAUGAAUUACAAUCAUGGCAACAUCAUACUGAACAGGCAAACUCUGGAACCAUUCCUUUUGAGAACUGGAACAAGACAAGUAUGCGCACUCACACCACUCCUAUUCAACAUGCUGGAAGUCCUAGCCAGAGCAAUCAGACAAGAGAAAGAAAUAAAAGAUGGGCUUUUCAGAGGAUGAUGGCCAACUAGAUGCAGCCAGGAGGAACAUCUGCCAUUCAGGGACUGGGACACUGGGAAGAGUGGUACACUCUGAGCCGAUCUCUGGAGGGAAGGCAUUGAGAAUGGAUGCAGGGAGGACACAGAUGUUGGGCUGAAGAACAAGGAGGCUCGGAACUCUGGACAGGGCUACCACACACUGGGACUCAUUCCUGGCCUCAACAACUCCUGGAGAAGGCACGAGUUAAGAAGGUAAGGAGCAACCUGCUCUCACCACAUGCCUCUGAAAUCCUGUUAACAGGAGACUCCACAACUCCCAUGGACACUUGAGCUGGGAGAGAGAGAGCUGCUUAGAGACUUAGAGAAGUGGUAGGGGCAGGACUCCAGCCUGAGUGAAGCCCAGAGUAUUUGGUGUGGCAACAUCUGCAGUGGAGCGUGGCCAUGGAUGCCCAUCUCCAAAGGCUCACUUUGGUCCCCUAGGAGAUAUUAGACUUAGAGGACCUAUCAGACCUGAACAGAGCAAAGUGACUCUGCCCGUGAGACAAAGCCAGUCCAACCUGUACAACCCCCUGUCUGCUGCCCUCUCUUAGGCCCCAGACUAGCCACACCUGCUUGCAAUGUAGCCUUCAUGCACAACCAGGGGACUUACAUCAUACUUUCUGUGCUGGCAAACCGUGUCUGACCAUGAGAGAGCUCCAGCAGAGUGGUCCCCACUGACACACCAGGCCACACACAACCUCCCUCUACCAUAGCCUCCCUGCACUACUUGGUUGGCUUGCAUUCGCCCAUGGCCACACACCCACUCUUUUGCCACCAUGCAUGCAUGUGGGUGAUGUUGCCUCCCCUUCCCCACCAGCACAUGCGUGCACAUGCACCCCACUCUACCACUGCUGCUGAUGCGACUUCACCCAGCCCACCACCGGCUGCCAGUGUGAACGCAUGCACAGAGACCAGCAGCCCCACAUUGCCACCACCAGUAGUGUCAACACGGACACAGAAUCCACCAGUCCUGUUCCCACCAGCACUCCACCCCCAUCACCAACACUGCUGCCAAUGAGAAUGUGUCCAUGGAUGCCACUGGUCCUGCACCACCACCACCACUAAAGUGAACACACACGGAGGCUGCCAGCCCUAUGCCCGUCAGCACCUCACCACAGCCAAUGAGAAACUGCCACUGCUGCUGGCACAUGCAGGUGAGCACACAUCCCACUGCCAUCACCUGGUGAAGCACUUUGGCUGUCACCACCCAUUGGAUUGUUGUGGCCAGCAGUCCAGGAACUCUUCAACACCUCCAGGACAGCAGAUUCCACAUAGGCCAAUGGAACAGGAUAGAAAGCCCAGAAAUAAUGUCACACACCUACAACCAUGUGAUCUUCAGCAAAGUCUACAAAAAACAAACAUUUGGAAAAAGACUCAUCAUUCAAUAAAUGGUGCUGGGAUAACUGGCUGGGCCAUAUGCAGAAGAUUGAAACUGGACACCUUCCUUUUACCAUCUACAUAAAUCACCUAAAUAUGGUUUAAAUAUUUAAAUAUAUAUCCCAAAACUAUUAAAACUCUUGAAGGUAACCUAGGAAAUACCAUGCCCAACAUAGGAACGGGCAAAUAUUUCAUGACAAAAGGCCAAAAGCAAUUGUAACAAAAAUGUAAAUUAAUAAAUCAGACCUAAUUAAACUAAAGAGCUUCUGCGUAGCAAAAUAAACUAUCAAUAGAGUGCACAGAUAACCUACAGAAUGGGAGAAAAUAUUUGCAAACUUCGCAUCCAAAAAAGUCUAAUAUCCAGAAUCUAUAAGAAACUUAAACAAAUUUAGAAGCAUAAAAACAAACAACCCCAUUAAAAAGUGGGCAAAACACGAACAAACACUUUUCAAAAGAAGACAUACAUGCAGCCCAAAAACAUACUUUAAAAUGCUCAACAUCACUGAUCACUAGAGAAAUGCAAAUCCAAACCACAAUGAAAUGUCAUUUAGAGCUCACAGCAGUCAAAAUGGUGAUUAUUAAAAAGUCAACAAAAUAACAGAUGCUGACAGGUUAUGGAAAAAAGGGAACUGUAUUUUUUUUUUUUUUUUGAGACAGAGUUUUGCUUUUGUUGCCCAGCCUAGCGUGCAAUGGUGUGAUUUUGGCUCACUGCAAACUCCACUUCCCGGGUUUAAACAAUUUAACUGCCUCAGCCUCCCAAGUAGCUGGGAUUACAGGUGUCCACCACCAUGCUCGGUUAAUUUUUGUACUUUUAGUAAAGAUGGGGUUUCACCAUGUUGGCCUGGCUGGUCUUGAACUCCUGACCUCAAGUCAUCCACCUGCCUCGGCCUCCCAAAAAGGGAACUCUUGUACACUGCUGGUGGGAAUGUAAAUUAGUUCAGCCAUUAUGAAAAGCAAUUUGGUGAUUUCUCAAAGAACUCAAAGGAGAAUUUCCACUUGACCCAGUAAUCCUAUUACUGGAUUUAGUUUAGUUCUCAUAAGUGAGAACAAAACAUUGAGUAUACAUGGGCACAAAGAAAGGAACAACAGACACCAGACCCUACUUGAGGGUGGAGAGAGGAAGAAGGGUAAGUGUGAAAAACUACCCAUCAGGUACUGUGCUUAUCAACUGGGUGAUGAAAUAAUCUGUACAACAAACCCCAGUGAUAAAAUUUACCUGUAUAUCAAACCUGCACACGUACCUCUGAACCUAAAAUAAAAGUCAACAACAAAAUAAGAAAAUCUUUCAUUUGCUGGAAUAAAUCAGUACAUGAUAAAAAAAAUUUUAGAUAUUCUUUUUGAACUGUUUUGUGAGACCAGAGUAGUUUUUAAUUUAGGAAUAAUGUUGGCCCACUAUUGAGACAAUAAUCUUCUAAAUACUCUUUCCUAUUCCCCUUCAGUUAUUAGGUUCUUCAAUCUGACUAGUGGCAGCAGAAUUAUUUCCAGCUUUGUGUAAGCUACAAGGAUUUUUCCAUCUUUUCCUUUUGGGUGAUCUUUGCUUUGACCUCAGGUGUUUUUCUCACAGAUAGAGGCUGAUUUGUAGGCAGCCGAAAACUAAGGUAGGGGAGGAGGCUUUGUAGAACUCAGAACUCUUUUCCUACACAGUUGUCGCCUGAGCACUCGCUUCUGUCCAUAUUUUAGCUGACUGGCCUCUCCAGCUUCCCACUCCUAUUUCCUCAGUUCAUGAAAACCAGUUUCCAAGUACCUUUUUUGGCAUUGCGUCCAGUAAAGGAUUCCAGGGAGUAUGCUAAGCCAAUUAUAGGUUCAAUUCAUUUUAUCUGUCUUUCUCAUGGAUCACUCACCUGUGCUAUUUUAUACUUCAAUGUCUGAAAACCCUUGUUUUACAUGUUUUAUCUUUGGUGAUUUUUUGGUUUGUUCUGUUUUUUCUUUUGUUUGUUUGUUUUGGUAGUAGGGGAAAUAUACUCUCUUAAAUUCACCUAUUCUGGAAGCAGACAUUUCUCAGAUUAUAUUUAUAUCAUUUGUUUCUAUAACAUGUGACACAAAUUACAAAUGCCCAUGUCAUCUCCCAUCCCAGAACUAGCUACACAGCAUGUGAAACUGAGCAAGUUUCAUAGAAUUAAGGAGGUAAUACAGCCAAUUUUGAUUGUUUUAAAACAACAUGAGUACUAUGAAACAGAGGAAUAGCACUGGCUUAGGAGUCUUAAAAAAUGUGUUUAGGCAUUAUAUUUUCAACUUUUACCCAAGGUAAUCCUAGAUAUAAUUAUUAAUUUUUUAAUUUUUAUUUUCUCAUUUGCAAAAUGAUAAUGGUUAUAAUUCUUACAUAACACAUUAGUACAAAAUUCAACAAACAAUAUAAGUCUACCAUCUUCUUCUUACCAAAAAUAUUUUUCUUGGAUAUUUGUCUUGCUGAGAAUGCUGUGUUAUGCAAUUUAAUAUCAUGUUGAUCUUUUAAAAUAUUGUGUGACAUUUUAAUAGAUAUUUGCUCAAUAUAUGUGCAUGUAUAUCCUUCUGUGAUGUAAGAAUAUAUAUGUUUGUGAAUGUAUUUAGACAGGUAUUUCAAUCAUCCAUGUUCAGUUGACAUUAUUAUAGUCUAAUUAAUAAUGUAAAGUUCAAUGCACUAUUUUAAUUAAAAUACUCAUUUUUUUAUUUUUCA